AUGGAUGAAAUUUGUGAUGAUGAUAAGGUGGAUGAAAUGCUUGACCAUAUUGCUAACAAUAAUCAGCAUGUAGUGAACUUGACAGUGGUUAGGGGCACUGAUCCAAGACCUGCAGAUUUGAACUCAGGCUAUCUGGUUGAGGAGCAGGUUCCUUUGAGCCAUAUAGGAGAGAACCCUGUGUAUGUAGUAAAUCCUUCUGGUGUUCUCUUAAGAUCACCACCAAAAAGUAUAAUACAGAGUCAGCCAGAGCCAUUGCAGUUCUACACUACACAGCAGAGCACAAACCAUGAUCUGGAUACAAAUGCUGCCAUGGACCAAUCCAAUGCAGUAGAUCAGGAUGAACUGGAGACAUUAAUGGAGUUGAAGAGGAGAACAAAGAUUGCCAAAUUUAGGAAACAUAAGAUUGCAGCUGAGCAUGUAAAUAAGGUUAAGCAGAAGCUACCAAUUCUUCUAACUGAAGAUGAUUCAGAUCUGGAUGCAGAUGAGGACUAUCUUCAGAGGCUUAAUGAGAUGAGGAAGCAAAGAGAGGAUCCACUCAUUCAUUUUGAUGGAGACACUGAUGUGGAUGAACUAUAUGAGGAAGAUGAGGAAGGGCAAAAUGUGGAGGUGGAGCAAGAGGAGCAGGUGGAAAAAGAUGAGCAGGUGGAGCAGCAAGAGGUGCCUACAAAGAAGAAGAAAGCUAGAAAAGGGCCAACAGAGAGGAAUAUGAUGAUGGAGCUGAGAAAGUACAAUUUGUUCUGCCCAAUGGAAGGAAGAGUAGAUCAGUGA
rnacentral:rRNA from 1 species